AGAGUUUGAUCAUGGCUCAGAUUGAACGCUGGCGGUAUGCUUAACACAUGCAAGUCGAACGCGAAAAUACCUUCGGGUAUGAGUAGAGUGGCGGACGGGUGAGUAACGCGUAGGAAUCUGCCUAGUAGUGGGGGACAACUACCGGAAACGGUAGCUAAUACCGCAUACGCCCUACGGGGGAAAGCGGGGGAUCUUCGGACCUCGCGCUAUUAGAUGAGCCUGCGUCGGAUUAGCUAGUUGGUAGGGUAAUGGCCUACCAAGGCGACGAUCCGUAGCUGGUCUGAGAGGAUGAUCAGCCACAUUGGGACUGAGACACGGCCCAAACUCCUACGGGAGGCAGCAGUGGGGAAUAUUGGACAAUGGGCGAAAGCCUGAUCCAGCAAUACCGCGUGUGUGAAGAAGGCCUGCGGGUUGUAAAGCACUUUCAGUAGGAAGGAAAAGCCUCAAGUGAAUAACUUUGGGUCUUGACGUAACCUACAGAAGAAGCACCGGCUAACUCCGUGCCAGCAGCCGCGGUAAUACGGAGGGUGCAAGCGUUAAUCGGAAUUACUGGGCGUAAAGCGUACGUAGGCUGUUAGGUAAGUCAGAUGUGAAAGCCCCGGGCUCAACCUGGGAACUGCAUUUGAUACUGCCUGGCUAGAAUCUGGUAGAGGGUAGCGGAAUUCCACGUGUAGCAGUGAAAUGCGUAGAUAUGUGGAGGAACAUCAGUGGCGAAGGCGGCUACCUGGACUAGAUUGACGCUGAGGUACGAAAGCGUGGGGAGCAAACGGGAUAGAUACCCCGGUAGUCCACGCCGUAAACGAUGUCACUAGCGUGGGUCUUUUAUGGACUUAGGG
rnacentral:rRNA from 1 species